rnacentral:lncRNA from 10 species
CGCUAACUGCGGUUCCAGGCGCCGGCGACGCAAUUCCAGAGGAUGCUUCUGGCUGGCACACCUGGCUUCCCCUCCAUGCUCAGAACUGCUUCCUACUCUACAUCCAGGCUCCUGAGCAGCCCCCAGCUUAAGCUUCAGCAGCUCCAGGGUAAAUCCAUCUCCGCCCAGAGCUGACUCCGGAUCUGCCCCAGUGACAAUAACAAGAUAAAUGCCUUCCAUUCUCUUCGUACUUACAGGAUGUAAUCCACAUAUUUACACAGUGUUUCAUUUGCGGUAAUGUUUGUUUUGUUUCUUGUUCCUUCGUACCUAUCUGGGAAGCCUGUGCAAUUCAGAUGUCCAGGCCCACUUCCAGAAGUUCUCAUUCCCUGUGCUUGAGUCAAUGGCCGCAGACCAUACACCUGAGAGCAAGUUAAUCUGCUCU